CUGAUUAUAGGGUUACAAUGAAAAAAAUGGAGUGGAACUGGUUUCAAGGUUGAGUUGGAGGGGGUUUGAGAUUUUUUCUCCAUUGGCCCAGUGAAGUGCAUCCAAACCAUUGCCUGGGACAAGCAGAGCUGAAUGGAUGAGACCAACUUUGUGUUCAUCAGGAACAGCAGUCCUCCAGGUGUCAUUUCUAAUAAAUAAACACUCAGGGACUUUGUUUCUGAAAGACCACUGUACGGAGAUGCCUGUUGGUACACAGACAGCUACACUGGCAACAGAAUCAUCCCCUGGCUCUACUUGUCUAUAAACCCUGACAUGGCCAGCAGCAAUUCCAGAUUCCAACUAUUCCAGAUGGCACCUAGUGACGUCAGGAGAGACAUACGACAUGUGAUGUACAGGUCUGAACAAACAGGACAACCCACUGCCUUGUCUCACCCACACAGCAAUGUUCCUUCAGUUGUGUGAUACAGGCAGUGAGCAGCACUGUGUUCUCUGGCAGGACCACGCUGUGAG
ensembl:lncRNA